AAAAAGUUCAUUUUUCAGUUUUUUAAUACAACAUUUAACUCUUCGUCUUAUUUAAAACCUUUCAUAAUUAAUUUUUUAUUAUUAGAUGAUAAAAUAUGAAUAGUAGUAUUUUAUGUGUGACAAAUUUUUUUAAUUUUUUUAAAUAAGACGGACGGUUAAACGUUAGACGGAGAAACUCUAAAAUAAACUUAUU
rfam:Oryza glaberrima chromosome 7 Oglab07_0041_4, whole genome shotgun sequence.